rnacentral:rRNA from 2 species
AUCAACUUUCGAUGGUAGGAUAGAGGCCUACCAUGGUGGUAACGGGUAACGGGGUGUUAGGGCACGACACCGGAGAGGGAGCCUGAGAAACGGCUACCACAUCCAAGGAUGGCAGCAGGCGCGCAAAUUACCCAAUCCCGACACGGGGAGGUAGUGACAAUAAAUAACAAUACGGGGUUCUUUCGGAUUUCGUAAUUGGAAUGAGUACAAUUUAAAUCUCUUAACGAGGAACAAUUGGAGGGCAAGUCUGGUGCCAGCAGCCGCGGUAAUUCCAGCUCCAAUAGCGUAUAUUAAAGUUGCUGCAGUUAAAAAGCUCGUAGUUGAAUUUCGGGACCAUCAUGUCGGUCGUGCCUCGGUACGUACUGGUAUUGUUGGUUUCUCCCUUCUGACGAACCAUGAUGUCAUUUAUUUGGUGUUGUGGGGAAUCAGGACUGUUACUUUGAAAAAAUUAGAGUGUUUAAAGCAGGCUCACGCUUGAAUACAUUAGCAUGGAAUAAUGAAAUAGGACGUUUGAUUCUAUUUUGUUGGUUUCUAGGAUCGACGUAAUGAUUAAUAGGGAUAGUUGGGGGCAUUAGUAUUCAAUUGUCAGAGGUGAAAUUCUUGGAUUUAUUGAAGACUAACUACUGCGAAAGCAUUUGCCAAGGAUGUUUUCAUUAAUCAAGAACGAAAGUUAGGGGAUCGAAGACGAUCAGAUACCGUCGUAGUCUUAACCAUAAACUAUGCCGACUAGGGAUCGGAUGAUGUUAAUUUUUUAAUGACUCAUUCGGCGCCUUACGGGAAACCAAAGUGUUUGGGUUC